UUCGGAAUGAAGUUUUAGUGACUGAGUGGCGGACGGGUGAGUAACGCGUGGGUAACCUGCCUCACACAGGGGGAUAACAGUUGGAAACGGCUGCUAAUACCGCAUAAGCGCACAGUACCGCAUGAUACAGUGAUCAAAGGAGCAAUCCGCUGAAAGAUGGGCUCGCGUCCGAUUAGAUAGUUGGUGAGGUAACGGCUCACCAAGUCGACGAUCGGUAGCCGACCUGAGAGGGUGACCGGCCACAUUGGGACUGAGACACGGCCCAAACUCC
rnacentral:rRNA from 1 species